GUGAGCCGUAUGCGGGGUAACUCGCACGUACGGUUCUUGAGGGAGUGGGCACUUUCGGCCUGCUUACCUAAU
rfam:Candidatus Hamiltonella defensa 5AT (Acyrthosiphon pisum), complete genome.